rnacentral:rRNA from 1 species
GAGUUUGAUCCUGGCUCAGAUUGAACGCUGGCGGCAGGCCUAACACAUGCAAGUCGAGCGGAUGACGGGAGCUUGCUCCUUGAUUCAGCGGCGGACGGGUGAGUAAUGCCUAGGAAUCUGCCUGGUAGUGGGGGACAACGUUUCGAAAGGAACGCUAAUACCGCAUACGUCCUACGGGAGAAAGCAGGGGACCUUCGGGCCUUGCGCUAUCAGAUGAGCCUAGGUCGGAUUAGCUAGUUGGUGGGGUAAUGGCUCACCAAGGCGACGAUCCGUAACUGGUCUGAGAGGAUGAUCAGUCACACUGGAACUGAGACACGGUCCAGACUCCUACGGGAGGCAGCAGUGGGGAAUAUUGGACAAUGGGCGAAAGCCUGAUCCAGCCAUGCCGCGUGUGUGAAGAAAGGUCUUCGGAUUGUAAAGCACUUUAAGUUGGGAGGAAGGGCAGUAAGUUAAUACCUUGCUGUUUGACGUUACCGACAGAAUAAGCA